GGCUUUAUAUUCAAAUAUGAUAUUAGACUGCAAUUCUAAAGGUGUAAUAAUUUACUAAGGCUU
rnacentral:tRNA from 1 species